rnacentral:rRNA from 1 species
UACGGGGGGGGCAAGCGUUGUUCGGAAUUACUGGGCGUAAAGGGCUCGUAGGCGGCCAACUAAGUCAGACGUGAAAUCCCUCGGCUCAACCGGGGAACUGCGUCUGAUACUGGAUGGCUUGAAUCCGGGAGAGGGAUGCGGAAUUCCAGGUGUAGCGGUGAAAUGCGUAGAUAUCAGGAGGAACACCUGCGGUGUAGACAGCUUACUGGACCACUUCUGACGCUGAGACACGAAAGCGUGGGUAGCAAACAGG